rnacentral:lncRNA from 1 species
AGCAGCUAAUCCAACACCUUUGGUAUGGCCAGGAGCCAUGACAUUAGCACCUCCACCAUACCUAACAUAAUAAGCACUCUGGAAUGCCUUCACAAAACCCACACCACAGAUUGCACCCAAACACUGUGCCACCAUGUACAAUACUGCUCUGAUCAAUGAUACUUUCCUUGCCAAAAACAGCCCAAAUGUCACUGCUGGGUUUAUGUGUCCUCCUGUAUGCAUAUAAACGUAUAUUAGUAAUAUUUAAUUUUUGUGCACUGAUAAUUUUUAUUUUAUAUUAAGAUGACUAAUAAUAACAUAUAAUCAUUAAUAAAUAUUCUAAUCUGAGAUGACUUUUAUGACGAAUUAAAAUGGGUGAUAUUUUUUUUUAAAAAUUACUCCUUUAGUGCAUAUAAAUUAAAUUUGUAUUUUCACACAAUUCAAUAUGAUAUCAGAGUAUUUGAAUUAAAAUUUCACGAUUAUCAUAUUAUCAAGAUGACUUUCUACUAAGAAAUAAAACCAACUGAAUUGUAAAGAAACAAUUAAUACACUUAAAAGAAUCACCUAAACGAUAAUAAAAAGUAAUUAUUUAUAAAAUUAAAUUCAGUAACUUAAAAAAUAAGAACAGAUUAUUUGCUAUAAUAAAUUAAAAUAGACAUAGUUAGAUACUAAAAAUUAUUUACACUUUCAAUAUGUAUAAUUGAGUUGAAAUUAACUUUUAUAUACAGCCAAAAAAUUUAAUAAUAUCAAUUGAUGUAAAACAUGACUAAAAAAAAAGUUAAUAACCUAAAAAUAGAGCAUAUUACUUGCUAUAAUCUGUUUGACGGGACACGAAAUUUAAGAAAAAAUGAAUAUUUUUAAAAUUUAUGGCCCUAAACAAGUCAAAAAAUAUCCAAAUUUAAAAAAAAAAUAUUCUUUUUGGAACGAACAAAAAAAAUAAAUCGACCUAAACUGACACAGAGGGAGGGUGAAGCAAGAAACUUACCGGAGAUACCGGCGGUGCAGUAAACAAGAAUGAAAAUCAUGCCACCAAAAGCCCAAGCAAUACCAAGAAUACCAACGCCGCCACAGAUAUCACCGUCGGCUUUGACAUCUGACUGGACCUUAUACCCAAUCACAGUCAAAACAGUAACAUAAAGGAAAAGCAAAGUGGCAAUGAACUCAGCAAUAACAGCUCUGUAAAGUGACCAUUGUGUCAGCUCCUCAAAGUCUACUAAAGGAGCUGGUGGAGGGUCAGUAUAGUCUUUUGCUGAAAACUCUGUUGGUUGCUCUGUUGCUACCUCUACUUCUUUAGUCAUGGCUGACGAAAAAGAAAGAAAAUUUGAAACAAGGGAUAUGGAUGAUGAGAAGUGAGUGUAAAAUGGAUAGGUAUUUAUGGGAGAAAAGAGAGGACUUUUAAUGAUUUAUUUUAGAGUGGAAAAAGAAUUUAUGUUUAGUUUAAUUGUUUUAACUUAAUAUUAUUUUGAGCCGUCCAAUACUACUCCAUUAUUGUCGAAUUUGUGAGCUUGCAAUUGGUCCCCACGGGCCACCAUUUCAAUACAACGGCUUUCUUAUAGUCUACCUUUGGCUUUCUACUUAAUUAAAAUGUGUUCUUUUAGUACGUUAUCUUUUGUGGUUUUUGUUUUAUUUGAUUGGUUUGGCAUUUAGACUUUAAUUUAUUAAUUUGGAGUAUUUUCAGAAAGAUUUAUCAAAAGCUUAGAAAGGGAAAUUUGCCUGGCAACGGUACGUGGCUAGCUGGAUUGCAAAACAAAACUAGAAAACGAAAGCAAUUAUAAAACAACAACAACAACCCACUAAAAUUCCAAUGGUGGGAUCUGGGGAAGGUAGUGUGUAAGCAGACCUUAUCCCUAUCUCAAAGGAGUAAAGAGGCUGUUUCCGAAAGACCCUCGGCUCAAGAAAACACAAAGACAAAAGAGAAAAAUAUUAGUAUCACCACGAUAAUCAUAGAAAAAAAAAUAGAAACAUGAAAUUUAGAAGGAAGAGGCAAAACAAAAGUGAUAGUUAGUAAAAUAGGUUUUGUACUAAAAAAAAAAGCAAUUAUAAAAGUUGAUACAUAAUGCUGUAAUUUUAAAGAAAAUACCUCUGGCCAUAUUAUUUGUUGUUUUGACAAGUUUUGACUUUGUUUAAUUAAUUGACGUUUUAGUAAAAAAUAAAAAUACAAACAUUUAUGCGGAGUAAUUUUUUUCAAAUUUACUAUUACUAUUCUAAUAGUAGUAGUGAUAAAGAACAAUUUUGACAAAUAUUCUUAUUAAGAUUGUUAAAUAUUUUUCUUAAAGCAUGUGCAUGAAUAUUGGACGAAAUAACUCCAACAGUAUAUCGAUAGCGAUUUAGAUAACUUCUCCAAGUCUGCCUUAUCUAUUUGUAGGGGCGUACAAAUGAAACUGAUAAAUUGCACCAACUUAAUAAUUCGAGUUAAACCGAAAAAAAAUCCAAUUAUAGUUUGGUGUUGAAAAAAAUAACCCGACCAUGUUUAGUUUGGUUUGGUUUUAACUAAAAAAAUUCAAACCGAAACCAAACCAACCCGCUAUUAUAUGUAUAGAAGUUUUAAAUAUAUUUAAUAUAUAAAAAUAUUUAUAGUAGUGUAGUUUAUAAAUAUUCCUUAAGCUUUUUUAUAGUUUUAUUUUUUCACGUAUUCUUUCAAGUUUGGACUUAUAAUUUUUGGAUGCUCCAAUAAGUUUUAUAGUUCAUAAAUGUUAGUAACUCAAAUAAAUCCUAAACCAAUAUCAAAUCAAUGUUAAUGCUAAUAAAAGACAUUCAACUCAAUUAUACUAUUAAUGAAAAUAGUGUUGGAUAUUUAUUUUUUAGUUUUUCCGUGGUUUAGAUAAAAUGUAUAACUUAUUUUUCUUUUAGUGUUUAGUCAUCUAAAUAGUACUAUUUAUUAGUCAUACUUAUUUUAGCAAAUUAUUAGUAAUUUUAAAUUAUGCUUGUUUAUUAUGGCUUAUUAAUAAUACUUAUUUUAUGCGAUUUUAUUAUCUUUAUUGUUGAAUUUUUAGUUGUUUUCUUUCAUUGUUGAUCACCUUACUAUCUUGUUCUUUUUUUUCCUAUUUUUAUAUGGCUUUUUGGUACUGUCCCUUUUUGUCUAUAUUUUCAUUAAUGGGGUGCUUAUGCUUUCAUGAGCCGAGGGUCUGUUGGAAACAACCUCUCUAUCCUCACAAGGUGGGGGUAAGGUCUACGAACACACUAUCCUCCCCAGACCCCACGGUGUGGGAUAAUACUGGGUAUGUUGUUGUUGUUGUUGAAUAUUUUAGUACAAUGCCCUGACUCAUCUCAUAUUUAUGUUAUUUUAUUGAAAAACACCUUAUAUAGUUCUAUUUUACUAGGAUUAAAGAAAUAUUUGAAGCACAAAUUCUAUAUUUUGUGUUAUGAAAGACUUUAUGAAAAAAAAAAUCGAAAAAACUCGAGAAAAACCGAGAUUGAAAAAUCCGACUUUUAUUGGUUUGGUUUGGUCUUUAAAUUUAAUAACGAUACAAUUGAUUUGAUUUGGUAAUUAGAAAAUCGGAACCAACUCGACCUAUGUACACCCCUGCCUAUUUGUGUGUGAUCAAGUCGACCAAUCCAAACAUCUGUAGAUAGAAGUUGUUUGUCGAUCAGUAGACUCAUGCUCAAUAUCGUUUAGGCCAUUAUGAAUCAAAGCUAGUAGUAUUAAUUUAAGUGCUUAAGAGAAAAUUUCUGAUUUUGAAAGAGGAUGCUUCAUAUUUUCCCAAAAAGAACCAAAAUCGUAAAACUUGAGAAGCACGUUAAUCUGUGUGUAGAAUAUUGGCGAUUCUUCUGAUAAUUUUUCGAGUGUAUAAUAAUGUGCAACUAAAGAAAAAAGGCUAUGGAAUUGGCAACUAAAAGGGUGGAAGAAAAGAACAAAAACAAAAAAGGUAAUGCAUUGUCGACAAAUAUUGUAAGUACUAUCUUCGUUCUCUUUUAUAUUUUUAUUUGUCCAAUUUGCUUUUUUGCUUUUUACACUGCUCUUAGGUAAAUAUUAAAAAGUAUUUAUUUUACUAAAUUAUUCUCAUUAAUGGUAAUUAGACUACUAAUAUUUCAAUUAAUUUACAUAAGGACAAGGGUAAAAUUUAAAAACUAACAAAUUCACUCUUAAUUUGCUAAAAUAGACAAAUAAAAAAAUUUAAUAUUAUUUACUCGUAAAACAGUACAGUUGAAUUUAUACAUUAUUUAUAAACAACUGAAUUAAUUUUGAUCAUGAAAUAAUAGAUGAAUUAGAUAAAAAUAUAAUACUUAGCCUUAAGAUAGAGAUAAAAUAGCAGAAAUAGUAAUUCUGGGAGCAAGGUUCCCCGGGCACAAUAGCAAUGAUAUCAAAGAACAAAAAGAUAACAUUGUAUUAAGCUUUGAAUAGAAUGAAGCGAAUGUUUGCUAGAAAAUUCUUUUUUUCUUCAAUGAUAGUAGAGCUCACUAUUUAUAGCUGCACAUAGGGAACAAGGUCCUAGGAUCAAGCCCCUCUUUAAUGUCAGUUGUGAGGGUCAUUAAAGUAUAAAGGCAGGCAAUGAAUGUUAUAUUCCUUGUAACGGACCAUAUACUUAAUGCUUUAGAGUAUUCUUCAUUUAAUGCUACCGGUGGUAGACAUUUAUUUCAUCUCUGUGAGUAUUACUCUCUCUGCUAACAGAUGGGAUUGUCGCCUUCCGAUUCAACUGUCUUCUGUCUUCGGAUCCACGCGUCACUUUCUUAUUUGAUCAUUUAAAGUAAACAUAUUUUACCCUAUACAGAUAGUCCCUCUACUUUUCGGUGGCACAAAUUUAUGUCACCGGAAAGUUGGUAGAAAAUAACUCUUUUGGCGGAAAAUUCACUGACCUUCUCUGAAAAGUUUUCUAACGGUUGAUUAGACGCAAGUCUCUUUGCAUUUAAUGUCUCGAAAAUGCGUCAUCCCAUGAUUUAGCAUUAGUUUUAUUGGUCAUCGAGAUAAUUAUGGCCACAAUUUUAGCCGCCUAUUUCUUCACUUAUACACAUCAAACUCUUUUAUUCACACCUCAUAAUUCUUCAAAAUCUAUCAAACUUUCUUCGUUCAACUCGUACUUUAUCUCCACCAUUUCUUUAAUUUCCUUCAUAUGAGAAAAGCUUUUCCUUCAUCUUUAACAUAGAAUGGCUUCUUCUUCUAAAAAACUUAGUUCCUCAAAGAACAAAGGCAAAGCCGAUGAGGCCACUCCUCCUACAACAAGCACCAUCAUCCCUAGAAGUCUCGUCAUAACUUAAGUCUUCGAAGAAAAUUUCCUUCUGCUAAUGCUCGUACAUGGGCUGUUGGCAGAUACCCUUCUUCCAUCCGUCCUUCCAGUAUUCCUACUGUGAAGGAAGAUUGCCGUUGUCAGGAUUUAGAUAUUAUCGCUCCUGAUCUGACGGAGUGGAUAACCUUACCCAAGAAGGGUUUUACAUAAUUCUAUAUGUAUCCCUUCAUUUUGGGGGCAUUUUCUCUAAGUGGAGAGCUUGACUCCGUUAUUGUGGAAUUCUGCCUCUAUUGCUUGGUGUGUUUGACACAAGUAAGUCCUUCCAUAUGGAGGAUUAUUGCUUGUCUUCGGCGCCUUUUAUAAGAAAUGGGAGAGGAGCUAUCUCUAGCUCACGUGAUGAAUCUCUAUUACCCCAAGAUCUUAUGCAAGGGAAUGGUAAAUUUCAACAAACAUGGCCACUAUUUGCAACAAAUUAUUUGUGUUACAAAAAUAAAUCAUAACCACAAUAUAAAUAUGAAGAAACACAAUUUUAUUGAUAAAUAAUGCGGGUAAAAUUCUGUUUAUCUCUUGAUUCUUCCCUCUGCUUUAUUCUACAUGAUUCGAGGAUCUUAGCGGCAUAUUUCUCGAACGUAGGACUUUAAGCAAGAUAUAUUUGACAUGUCUUUGAUCUCUUAAUGAAUAUUCCAAAAGUUUCAUGGAAUAUCGAAGAUAUCAUAUUUGAUCUCUUUGUGCAUAUUUCUAGAGUUUAUAGAAUUGCUGAGAUUGUAUUUGAAGGACAUAUGUAGCCUUAUUUAUAAGCAUAAAUUAGGGUUUGGGUAGUGUAGCCACCAAGUAAUCCUAAUAGACUCCUAAUAUUUCAAGACGCAUCUUGAAUUAAGGAUUUAUCUUGAUCUGCUGAAAUUUUAGUGUCUACAAAUGCCCCCUACUUCAAGGUCUGUCGAAGUAUAGGCUUGCUAAAACUUGAAGACGAGACUUGAAGUACCUAACAAUCACAACAAAUAAUCAUGAAACUUGAAAUUUUUUAUUUGCAGGAGAAAGAGUUGAAGGGCAGAACUGGUCCCACUGGGCGUGCCAAUUUGUUUGCAACAAAUUAUUUGUGAUUCAAAAAUAAAUCUUAACCACAAUAUAAAUAUGAAUAAACAUAAUUUUAUUGAUAAACAAUGCGGGUACAAUUCUGUUUAUCCCUUGAUUCUUCCCUCUGCUUUUUUCUAUGUGAUUCGAGGGCGUUAACAGUGUAUUUCUUGAACGUAGGACUUUAAGCAAGACAUAUUUGACAUGUCUUUGAUCUCUUAAUGAAUAUUCCAAGAGUUUCUUGGAAUUUCGGAGAUCUCAUAUUUGAUCUCUUUGUGCAUAUUUUGAAAGUUUGUAGAAUUGCUGAGAUUGUCUUUGAAGGACAUAUGUAGCCUUAUUUAUAGGCAUAAAUUAGGGUUUGGGUAGAGUAGCCACCAAGUAACGCUAAUAGACUCCUAAUAUUUCAAGAGUCAUCUUGAAUUUAGAAUUUAUCUUGAUCUGCUGAAAUUUCAGUGUCUACAGCCACCAUGCUUUACUAUCUAGCAUGGAUGAUAAAAACGACCGUGGGUGGAUAGAAUGGUUUGUUGUAGUUGCCACCAAUAAUAUCAUUCCGACAACGACUUUAUCCUUUCCAAAAUUAUAGAACUGUACUCGUAAGUUCCUUGUUUAAUAUUUCUUUCAUUAGAGAUCAUCUCGUAUCAUUAUUGACCCUAAUUCUUUCGCUUGUUCCAGCAACUCGAUAGGUAUCACCUAGUGUUGAAGGCUUAGACCAAUGGGUCCAGAAAAUCUUGGAUGUCACUACGCCCGAGACCUGCACAUGGAAAGAACUGGCCUUUAAAUAUGGGUGGAAGGCCAAAAAUUAUGGUAAAUUAGACUCAUCUUGUCUUUGCUUUUCACGUGAGGAAAUUUAUUAAUCCUUUCUCUUUUUGCUGAAUUCAGGUAUACCCCAGGGCUCAGUUGUCCUCCCCGAGGAGGAUGUUUUGGCUUAUCCUGCUAAUACGGCAAGGUUGCUUCAGGAGGCGUUUACCCUAACAUGCAUCUUUGGUCCUGCUUUGGGCAUAAGUGUCUCUUUCCAGAGAGAAAGCAAGCAAAAAGGAGACGUUCCUCCACAGCUGGGAAAAAUAAAAAGGCAAGGAGUGUCUUGCCUAAAUCGUUUUUAGAUGCUAUGAUGUCUAACCGCCUUGCCUGAGCCAACCAUAGAUACUGUGAUGAUCGACGAUGAUGGAGAAGCUAGUGAUGAGGGGGCUUCUCUACAUAGAAGACGACUACUUUCAUCAACUCAACAAAAUGCUCAAUCUGUUGAGUUAGUUACACCAAUCGAGAACGAUGCCUCGGCACUCUGGGGGGAUUUUGAAAUGGUGGAAAAUGCCAACUCCUAUUUUCGGAUCCUAGUCGCUGCACCCAGUGCUGUGAUGCUGAGUACCGGGUCCCUGCCGUCUUCGGUUGACGAGCAACCAACAACCAGCACUACGUUUGCCGCAACUGCUUCUCACCCUUCAACGCCAUCAGCUUCAUCUCCUUUUUCACCAACUCUUCCACCAGCAAUUACUACAUCAUCUCCCCCGGUCGCAUCUGUCCAAGAAGAGUAUGUUCCUCUCCUCGAGUCCCUAGUUCAUGGGAAUUUGGGGCAAAAUUACGCUGUCCCCUCUGAAGACCCGCAAAGGAGGGGCAACGUUAUUUUCUCGGUCUCUAUUGGAUGCAAUCUACUGUCUCGUCCGGUAGAACUUGCUAACUAUCUAAAGCCUUUGAUUUCAGAAAAAGAUAGGGAAAAUAUACAAGCUCUCUUGGGAGAAUGCUUGUUGAACAAUGCCAUGCACAAUGCCGCAGUGGUAUAUCUUUCGUUUUCUUCGUUAUUUCUUCUACCUUUGAUACAACAUUAUUCUGAGUUUGCAUCUUCUAUUUCGCAUGCUAAUUUUCUUGCUUCCAAGGGACUCUAACGGUUGAUUAGAGAUAAAGAGGAACUUACCUCUGAGCGGGAUCAACUUUUGGCCGAGCGGGACCAAACUACUGCUCACCUCUCAGAACUGGAAGCUAAAGCUGUUGAGGCAGUUGUGUUGGAGGCUCGAUUGCCGCAAAGCGAGCAAAAAGUAGAGACCCUUAGCCAAGAGAUCUCCCCGUCGAGGGUUCAAUUUGAAGAGGCUUGGGCAAAAUGGGCUGAAGUCCAUAGUGUCGUUCUUGCUGCAUCCGGUCGCGAGGCUGCCUCCGCUGAAAGAUUAAAUAAUUUAGAGGCGGCCUUGAACUCCAAAACGAAGUGCUUGCUGCUGCCAGGGUUAAGUAUGCCUAACUGGAUGAGAAGUAUAAGAAGACUGUUGCGACCAAAAUACUCACGCAAGUGUACGCGAUCUUCAAGUAAUAUAGUAAUAAGUAAAGUAUCGUUCCCACAAGGACUUAUGAUCAACUUAUCAACUGAUGCAAACUCAAACAGUUAUCGAUUCAAGCUAAUUCUUCACAAAAUACAUAAAUAACCAAUUUACAAUUUAACUAGUAGACAAACAAUAAUACAAUGCAAAGUUACUACACCACUUAUGCAAUUUUCUUUCAACAAUUAAUAAGAGAGAUAUUCCAGGGUUAUGGGCUUGCUAGAGAUCAUGCUACGCUUUUAGCUUAAAAAUAAUUUAUUGAAUUAUCUGGGUUAUUGAUUAUAGGGUUGAUAAUAUCCAUAAGAAUCUGUCGAAUUCUUAUGCACCUAUUCAAAUUAAAUUAAUACCUAUAUUUCUAUGGCAGUAAUAUUAACUCAAAUGCAUUUACAAGUCCUAUUUUUCAACCAAACAAGGCAAUUAAGUAUAUUUCUAUCUUAAUCUCUAAUCUUUCACCCGAUGCCCAAGAUCCAGAUCUUGUUCUAUUUGAUUCUAUAUGCAAUCAAGAAUUUCCUUUUUCAAGUUUAACUCAAGAUUCGUAAAUAGUAUUUUACUGUCAACUAUGCAGUAAAAUAAUUAAUAACAGAAUCAAAUAAACAACCCUUAACGAUAAAUUCUAGAUCAUCUAUUUAAGCUUCAAACAACAUAAUCAUCUAACACACAUCACCCCAGAAUAUUUGGGGUUUUAGCUACUCAUAAUUAUACAAACAUCAACAAUAUAAGUCUUAAACAUCAAAUAAAUAGAUACUAGAAGAAAGUUUAGAAAAACUCUUUUAAUCCUUGCUCCAAAGUGUUGUCUCCUCUUGAUUUUGAUCCUCCAAUCUCCUUCUCCUUUUCUCUCUCAAAAUAGGUCUCCUCCGUCAAUAAUGGUUGCUUUACCCUUUUUAAUCGUGUAAGAAUGGGUUUUGACAAUUAUGCCCUUUUAAGACCAAAAUAGAAUAGUUCUGCAAUUUUUACACGUCCGCGUCGCCCCGCACGAUGCCCCAUGCGACGCGUACAUGGAUUUGUCAAAGACAGAAUACAAUUUAACGGAGCAGAACAAAUUUUUGCUAGAGUUUGCUUUGCCGCGGCGCGCCCCGCAGUGCGGCAGUGCAUUUUUCUGUGCUGCUUCAUUUUUUCUUUUGUUUUUCUAUCUGGGCUUGCUAUGCGACUCCCGAACACGAUCCCGUAUAUUUAGCUUUUACUCAGACUUCAAAGCCCAAAAUUAAUCAAAUUGAUCCCAAAUUUAAUUCAUAAGUCGGAAUCGCUUCCUGCAAGGCAUAAAACAUGAAUUUAGUAUAAUUCAUUAUUAUUUAAGCUCAAACCUUUGUAAAAUACAAUAAUUAAAGUGUUGUUACAAUGACUAAAAUACGAGUUUUUAGCCUAUGAUUAAAGACCAUUUAACAUAAUAGACUUUUCAGCUCUAUGGUCCGUGACCUCGAUGUCAGCCUUCGGUUCGUUAGAUCCGUACGGAAAAAUCUUUCUGCUAAGGUUUACCAACUUAAAGAAGAAUUUCAGCGUCGAGCGACUUCCUUCAUUGUUGCGAAAAUGCAUUCAAUGUAUAACACGAGGAGAAAAACCUUAUAAGAGGCCAAAGUGGGUGUCAAAGAUUUUGACGCCGAAGUCGCUAAGGCCCUCGAGCUAGAGUUAGCAGUAAAAAGAGGUGUUCCGACCAGGCCUGAUGAUAUCGAUUCUUCUGGUUCGGUUUUGAUUUCUCGGGAACUGAAGAGGAACCGGAAGGUGAUGAUGCUGAGGGCCAAAAUGAUGAAGGCCAAGAUAUCGAGCUGGCGACUGAUCUACCUCCUUCUUCUUAGGGCGCAAAUGUUUCUCUUCCUCCGGGUUCUGGAAAUGUAGUAGUUUAGCUUUUGAUUUCUUUUUCAAACCCUUGUACUUGUGUCGUUCGUUGUUAAAACUUUUUGCUUAAUUACUGCAUGAACUUCCCUUUCUGUGCGCUUUCGUUUAAGCAUUAUGCAAGUUUAAUCUUUUGCGCCUUUUUUAUUUAAGUAUUUGCGCAAGUUUUCUUAUUGCGUCUUUUUUUUGUUUAAGUAUUUGCGUAAGUUUGCUUUUUGCGUCUUUUUGUGCUGGCUUCAGGUGUAUUUUUCCCUCAAAGCAUUUGGAUUCCGAGCAUAAAUUCUUCUGAAAUCAACCCUUUAUCGUGAGGGUUUUCAUAAGAGAGAGUCCUCUUUUGUUUACAGUGCUCUUGAAGAGAACGACUCAUGUUCAUUACGACACUAGCAUUUGAAGUACUUGUUUAACUUUCAAAUGACAAAAUCAAUUCAUCGUUCAGACAAUAAACAAGAUAGAAAUAAAAGGCCUUUACUUUAUUCCUUCAGUUUUCAAAAGGUACACAAGCAUUCAUUAUGCUAAAAAGAAAUUGCUAUUUCUUGUGGCUAACUUGUACAACUUGUUUCUAUGGGGUUGGCUGCGCAGUCCCUAUGUCGAUGAUACAACUAUGUUUCCAAUUUUUAUAUUCCGGUUGACAUGUCAGUUAUUGUUGUCAUAUCCUCAUAUCAUUCCCGUCCCCCUCCCCCCCAGUGUUCGAAUGCGAAGAAUGCGAAUUGGAACAUUAGAAGUUUUGCACCUUCGAGGAUUCCACUAAAGAAUUGCUAGAUAAUCUUCAGUUCGGUAACAAGCUUCACUUCCCAUUAAGAAUUUAUGCUAUCGAGACAAAGAUUAUAUAAAAAUCCCCUAGUGGCUUGCACUUGCGAACGGUCGGGUAACCUUUGUUCGAUAGCAAACUUAACUUCCUAGUAGGAACUUUGCUACCGAGCAAAAUGUGGUUCUUCGCUUGUGUGCCUUGUUAUUGAAAGGUCUUAUUGAUUUUAUUGAAACCUUCUUCCUAGUAUACUUUCACCUGCCUCGUUAAAAACCUUGUCAGAAAAAUCCAAUUCGACCAAAAACUAGAUGAAAGGAAAAAGAGUGUAGCACAUACUUUCGGUACAGGUGAUGUCCAUCACCAAUAGUAUCUCUUGAGAUGUUCCACGUUCUAGUUGCUUGGAAACUUUUCUCCAUCUUGAUUCUCCAACUCGUAUGAACCUUUUCCCAUAACAACUAAAACCCGGUAUGAGCCUUCUCAAGUUGGACCUUUCUUCCCAGCAUUGAGUUCCCGGGUGAUUUGAGUUACUUUCUUUAAACCAAGUCUCCCACUUUGAAAUAACGGAGUUUGGCUCUUCAGCAGUAACAUCUUUCUAUUCUUUGCUUUUGAGCUGCCAUCCUUAUACGCGCCAAAUCCCUCCAUUCAUCGAGCAGUUCUAGAUUGACCAACAUUGCUUCGUUGUUUGCUUCUUCGUUCACCUGAAAGUAUCUCAGGGCAAGUUCCCCUACUUCCACUGGGAUCAGGGCUUUUUCUCCAUACACAAGGAAACAAGGAGUUUCUCUUGUGCUCGAUUUGGCUGUUGUUCGGUAGGCCUAUUGUACUCCUGGAAGUUCUUCGGGCCAUCUGCCUUUAGCUGCUUCCAACCUCCUUUUGAGAUUCUGAAUAAUCACUUUGUUUGUUGAUUACGCUUGACCAUUUGUGCUCGGAUGAUAAGGCGAAGAUGUGAUCAUUUUGAUUUUCGGGUCUUCAAGGAACUUUGUGCCUAUAAACUGUGACUCGUUGUCACAGGCUAUCUCUUUUGGUAAAUAAAAUCUGCAAAUUAUGUUUUCCUAGAAGAAAUCUACCACUUUGACGAGCGCAAAACACAACACAAAAUUAUUGCUCGCUAGUCAAAGAUAGUAUAGUUUAAUUAUCGUCUCCACCGGGAUUGGUUUAAGCAGUAUUCGAAUAAUUUUCAAUUAAUUACUAUCCAGGAAAGUUAACACUUGAUGUAAUGACUAUUACUAUGAUUAACUACUACAAAUUAAGCACUUAACAGUGGAUCACAAAAAUUAGCAGAUGAGCUGUCACGACCCAAGUUCGCCUCCGUGAACUGUCGUGACGGCACCUAGUCUCUACGACUAGGUAAGCCUAACAAUUGCGGAAAAAGAAAACAAAAUGCGAAAAAACUAAUGAAAACUGAAGAUAAACAAAUACAGAAGCGUUGAAGAUACUGCUCGGNNNNNNNNNNNNNNNNNNNNNNNNNNNNNNNNNNNNNNNNNNNNNNNNNNNNNNNNNNNNNNNNNNNNNNNNNNNNNNNNNNNNNNNNNNNNNNNNNNNNNNNNNNNNNNNNNNNNNNNNNNNNNNNNNNNNNNNNNNNNNNNNNNNNNNNNNNNNNNNNNNCUGCAUCUUGACUCCAAAAUAAGGACGAGUGGAUCUCUCCGGUCUAUGAGGUCUCCUCGCCUUCCUGUACUCUCUCUCUUGACCUCAUCUGUCCUCUCUCUCCCAGACCCACCUGUCCUCUACCCGGCGAGCGACCCUUCACACCUUCUGAAAUGAGAUCAUAGGUUGUGUCGCCAUGACACCUAGAACCCGACCAAUGUGAACUCGCUGCUCUGGAGUGGGGGCGGCGGGAGUCUGUGCUCCUUCUUGGGCCUGGGAUGUGGUUGCAGCAAGGGGAAUCAACUCUGCCUGAGCUAGAAUAGUGUACAUGCUCACGAACUGUGCAAGAGUCUCCUAAAGAGCUGGAAUAGUAGUAGCAGUAGGCGUAUCAGGUGCCUGGACUCCGACUGGAACUGCUGGUGGCUCUUCUGUGGUAGCUCGCAUGGGUGCUCUGGCUGCACCACGAGCGCGUCCUCGGCCUCUACCCCGACCCCGACCUCUGACGGCUCUAGCAAGGGGCACGAGUGCUUGGUCAUCUCCGAUAGCACGUUUCCUCACCAUCUAUGAAAGAAUGGAAGAUAGGGGUAUUGAAUUGGUGAUAUCAAAAAUCUCGCAUGACAAGGAAGUCAAAUGAAGUGGAAUUUUCCUAACAGUUACAUAGCCUCUCGUAGAUAAGUACAGACAUCUUUGUACCGAUCCGUGAGAAUCUAAUAAAUCGGCUUGUGAUUCAUGACUCCUAUGAACCUAGAGCUCUAAUACCAACUUGUCACGACCCAAGUUCGCCCUCCAUGAACUAUCGUGAUGACACCUAGUCUCUACGACUACGUAAGCCUAACAAUUGCACAAAAAGAAAACAAAAUGCGGAAAAACUAAUGAAAAUUGUAGAUAAAAAAAUAUAGAAACAUUGAAGAUACUACUCGGCAUAUACUAAUACAAGAUCUCAAAAACUGAACAACUUCCCAAAACCCAGAAUCUCAUGAAAUCACAAGCUAAGGAUACUACAUAGUGCUCUAACUCCAAAAUGUCUAAAUCAAAGUAAAUACAGAAGGGCUAUAACUACAAGAGAGAAUAGAGAGGGACUUCUCGGUCUGUGAACGUGGCAGAUAUACCUCGAAGUCUCUUAAGGAUCGCCUCGCCUCAAGGAUGGUAGGGCUGAGACGAAGAACCUGCAUCUGCAUAUGAAAAACAUGCGUAGAAAGGGCAUGUGUACACCACAGCCGUACUCAGUAAGUGCCAAGCCUAACCUCGGUCGGGUAGUGACGAGGAAGGUCACGGCCAUACUGGUCAUAUACAUAUAUAUAAAAGGAGAUGAAACAGUAUGAAGUAACACAUGAUAAUAAGAAUAAUAACAACUACAAUAGAGAGAAAACAAAAUCACAAAAGAAUAUAGCUCCACACAGAAAUACCAACCGAGGAUCUCCUAGGAUAUCGUCCUGUAGACCCCAAAUGUAAAUAUCCAGUGGAUCUCUCGGGUGUCGUCCAGUAGUCCAACUCAUAGUGCACAGGGGAUCUACCGGAAUACCAAUCCUUAGUCCUAAAUGUAAAUAUCCAGUACAUGGGGAAUCUACGGGGUGCAGUCCCAUAGUUCCAAUGUAAAUGUGCAGGGGGGAUCUACCAGAAUACCAAUCCGUAGUCCCAAAUAAACAGGCAAGGGGGAUCUACCGGGAUAUUGCCUGUAGUCUCAAAGUAAACACACAACAAGAUCAUGAAGAAUAUUCAAUUCUAUCCAGUUCCAUACCAAGGAAAAACAAGUAUUUCUAACCUAGCAUGCUGUACAGAAUUCAAAUAAGGCAGUUUGAGCAAGUAAAAUAGUUAAGUCACUUAGGUAUGCUUCCCUAAGCUAACAGUAGGCUUAAAAUUGCAAGUAAUGUACAAUAAGGAAGAAAAACACAAUUAUAGUUACUAAUGAAAACAAGAUUUUCAACAAUUAGUACAUGUACGCACUCAUCACCUCACGUAGAAGGCAUUUCAUAUAUCAAUAAUACCAAAUCCGAAGGGAAAGUUUCCCCCACAUAAGGUUAGGCAAGUCACUUACCUCGAAUCAACUCAAUCAACUCAAAAUCACAUUCUUACCACGAUACUCUACUCCAAAUGGCCCAAAUAUAUUUAAAUCAAUUGCAUAAUGUAAAUAUAACUUCAAGUAACUAAUUCCACUAAUUAAUUCGAAGCUAACAUGCGAAAUUGAGAAAAUUGCACAAAAAGUCCCCCGGGCCCAUGUCUCGGAAUCGGGUAAAAGUUACGGAUUAUGAGCCCCUAUUCACUCACGAGUCUAACCAUACCAAAAUCAUCCAAAUCUGAUGCAAAAAUCUUAAUCAAAACCCCAAAAUUAGGCCUAAGAACUUUUCCAAAUUUUUCCCCAAUUUCUCACCCCAAAUCCGAAAUUAGAUGAUGAAUUCACGUUUAGAUUAAUGGGUGUUAUAAGCAAAAAUGAGUUAGGAAUCAUUACCCAAUUGAUAUCUCUGAAAAUCCCUCAAAAUCUCGUUCAAAUCCGAGCUCCCAAACUCUAGUUUUGAUAAAAUGGCUAAACCCUCGAUUUUGAAACUUUAUAAUCUGCUCAGGUAAUUCCUUCUUCACGAACGCGAGACCAUUGUCGCGAAUGCGAUGCACAAAAAUCACUGGCCAGCAUUUCCUCUUUCGCGAACACGAGGGACCACUCGCGAAUGCAUAGCUUACACUGGCGGACCCUACACAAACGUGAGGACCAUGUCGCGAACGCGAAGACUAAAAGGCCCAUACCUUCACGAACGCGGGGCAUCAUCGCGAACGCGAAGCAUGAUUCAGCUGCUUCACCAAGAUGCUCUACGCGAACAUGAGAGCCCUCUCGCGAACGCGAUGAAGGUUUUCUCUGCAACACAACAGCAGAAAAUCUGCAACUUCUCUAAGUCCAAAAACGAUCCAUUGAGCAUCCGAAACACACCCGAGGCCCCCGACACCUCAACCAAACAUGCCAAAAAAUCCUAAAGUAUCAUUCAAACUUGUUACAACCUUCGGAACGCUUAAAACAACAUCAAAACACCAAAUUAACAUCUGAUUCAAGCCUAAGAACUCCAAAAACUCCCAAAUUCCGCUUUCGAUCAAAAACUCUAUCAAACCUCGUUCGAAUGACCUGAAAUUUUGCAAGCAUGUCACAUUCAACUCUACGUAGCUACUCUAACUUCCAGAAUUCCAUUCCGACCUCGAUAUCAAAAUCUCACUAUCGAACCGGAAACUUCAAAAAUUCAACUUUCGACAUUUCAAGCCUGAAUAAGCUACAGACCUCCAAAACACAAUCCGAACAUGCCCCUAAGCCCGAAAUCAUCCAACGGAGCUAAUGGAACCAAUAUAAUUCUAUUAUGAGGCCGUCUUUACACUUCCAACUAUGGUCCAAAUUCUAAAGCUUAAGCUCUCUUUUAGGGGCUAAGUGUCCCAAAACACUCCGAAAUUCAAAACAAAUCAUCCCGGUAAAUCAAAAUAGCAGAAACAAACACGGGAAAAGCAGUUAAUAGGGAAUCAGGGCAUUAAUUCUUAAAUUGACCGGUCGGGUCAUUACAUGAGCAAUAAAUAAAUAUCAAUGAGAGAAAUAAGGGUAAGUGACUGGACAUGUGCAAGAUAAUUGACUCGGGAUCCGAUUCAUGAGUUAGUUUACUCUAUAAUACUGUUGAUUCUCACAAAUUCAAUGUGCCACGACCCAAACCAAUGGACCGCGAUGGGCACUCGGUAUCUUACUCAACCGAGUACCAACAUAACGUAUCUUUCUUAUUACAUCAUCAUAUACACGUGACAUACGGGCCUAAUAGGCCAAUAUAACAUUUAUAAACUCAAAACGUAAGCNNNNNNNNNNNNNNNNNNNNNNNNNUAAAUCAUACUAACCAAUCAAGAAACUCUAAAACAAAUGGAGCGCACCAACAUCUUCCGCUGAGCUGAUAUCCUACUUGGAGGGCUCUCGACCUGUCUAUCGGGACCUGCGGGCAUGAAACGCAGUGUCCCCAGGAAAAAAGGGACGUCGGUACAAAAAAUAUACCGAGUAUGUAAGGCACAUAAAUAAGUACAUAACAGACAUGGAAGAAAUAUAGAGUAAUUGACUCAACCUGUAAGUCUAGAUAACUCUGUAAAUCAUAAAUAUUUAUAAUGUCAUGCAAAUAAAUGUCAUGUAUUGCAUACGCCUGUAUGUGCAUAACAUCAUCAAGCCUCUGAGGGCAUCCCAUCAUAUCAUCUCGGCCACUAUGGGCAAAUCAUCAAUGUAUACCAGCUGACCAGGUGGUGGUGUGUAUAUAUAAUGCCAUAACCUUUCCCAUAUCCCAUAUACAUAUAUAUACAUACAUAUAUACGUGUAUAUAACACCAUCUGGUCAUGGGUCAAUGUACAUGAAUUCAAUGCAUGAAAAGUACGUUAAUAAAAUCUUUCAAAACGUCAUAAGACCAUUUUGCAUUUGAGUAAUAUCAUAAAGUAAACUCUUUUCAACUUUCAUAUUUUUCUGAGACCCAUGAACAUAUGAUAAAAUAUUACGACACAUGGAAAUUAAAUAACAUAGAUAUUUCUAAUACUUCUAUGAAUAGAGUCAUUUAUGGAAUUGGUGCAUUUGCUCAUUUCUUCUGUAUAACUUGGACCAUGCCGAAAAGAAAGAAGGGAUGACCUUAACAUACCUGGAGUAGGGAAAAAUCCGUAUGAUAUUCUUGGAUAAGGUCACCGUACUCCUUUAGAACCAAAAUUUUUUUACGCUAACAAAAAUUCUAAUACGUCUCAUUGGAUUUUUUUGUAGGAAUUGGUAAAUCCUCUGUUCAAGCUUUGUGAAUUUAUCAUAGUCUUCUCGAUUUCCUUUAUGAACAUUUGUAUCAUCUGCUUGUGCUUUUCUAUGUGUCAUUCUGUAUUCUGUGAUAAUUCACAUGUCCUAAAAUGAUUCCACUUAUUGUAUACUUGGUUAAGCAAAUCCUUUGUUCAAGCUUUAUGAAUUUAUUAUAGUCAAGGAUUGCUAAGAUUGUAAUGUUUGAAGAAUGAAAUUUGGUUGAAACCCAUCAGAAUGGCUAACACCUCCCCCCUUCUCAUUGUAGUCUUUGAUAUAGAAAUUAUUUAGGACUAAAGUGAAUGUGUAAGACUUCACAUUAGUUGCCACCUCAUCCAAAUUGAUCAAGAGUCACUUCUUGGAGAAGUGGCUUGCUGCCAUGUGGGGUGGGGGUGGGGUUUUAUCUUAUCCAAAUAUAUCUCCAAUUAAUUAUGUAAUGUUCCGUUACCUGUUGAUUAAUCAAUUACCCACAAAAUUGAGAAUUAUUUCCACUUACUUAAAAUAUUACACACUUUUUACAUACCUUAUACACCUUACCGGGUAUUUUAGCUCGGGCCGUAUUUUAUCUCAAAAUGCCAAACUUGGACAAAAUUCAUUUUCUUUGACUUACUCCCCCUUUCACCUUCAUAAAUUUACCAAUCGCUUGUGAAAUAGCAUAAUCCUAAUAAUCUCCAAAUAAUCUUUUACUUGGACUGAUGUCAUUUACCUUACGACAAAUUUAACGUACAAUAAUUUAGGGUGCAACAUCGUCGUAACUUAAUACUGUGAAGCGUGGCAUCACCAUAAUUUAAUAUUGUUGGGUGCAACACUGUCGUAACUUAAUACUGCAAAGCGUAACAUCACCGUAAUGUAAUACUGCUGGGGGUAACAUCAUCGUAAUAUAUUACUGCAGAGCAUAACAUCAACGUAAUACUACGGGGUGUAACACAACGGAUAAUCAAAUUACACUUGAAAUUAAUCUUCGUCUUUCGAUUAAACAUUAAUUUCAGUAAUUAAUCUAAUUGAAACACGGUAAACAAUUGCAAUGAAUAAAAUGAUGGUUAUGGUCUUACGGGUAACUUCUCACGAAUAUUUUCUUAUUUUCUAGUUUGAUUAACAAUUCAAGAGGCUCUUUCGAUUACCUAUUUGAAUCACGAAUUUAGCCUAGAGCAUAAGAUGUAAUGAAAUUGAAUAUAAAGCUCCUAUUUCGAUUAAGCAAAAUAAUAAAUACCUUCACAAUACGAUUUAAAUCUCCAUUAAUUAAUUCAAACAAUUAUCAAUAAUCGAAUCCCUAAUCAGAUUAUCAAUACACCAUAUAUGUCAACUCCCUAAGGGAAAUUACUCCAUAGCAAUGGAGUGUGACAUCUCAAUAAGGUUUAGAAAUAAAGAAACCAUCAAUUUUAAUGAUUUGAUAUAAACUCAUGUAUUGUACCGAUUGCAGGUUAAAAUAUUGAUGAAUUCUUGAGUCUUCUUGCCUUGGUUCGUUCUCCAAUCUUUUGUAGGUGAAAAGUCCCUUCAAAAUUGUAUUUUUGGUGUAUCUAUACGGUGUAGAAACAAGCCUGGACGAAACUACCCUUUCCUGGCCGAGCUUGAAAAUCACUUUGAUAAUUUUUCCCAGUCGUAUUGCAUGCCGCACCGCGCCAUGCGGCGCGCUAAUGAGGAAAUCCAUAGGGCAUGCAAUUCACUCUUCAUGCCAUUUUUGCAUUGUCGCGCCGCACCGCGCCUCGUGCCGCCCCAUGCGGUGUGAUAAUGGCUUUUUCUCAGAGUAAAUUCGUUUGUUCACUUUUAGAUUUCGGUCUUGAUCCUCGACUCCCGAAUGUGAUACCGGCUUAAUUUCUUGGGAUUUUACUAAAAUUUCAAAGCUCCAACAUGUUCGGUUUCGCUCCAAUUUACCUAAAUAGCUCAGAAUCAGUUCCUACAAGGCAUAAAAUACGCAAUAAGUAUAAUUCACUAUCAUAUAAGCUCGACCACACUAAAAAUGCAAUAAUUAGAGUGCAAUACUACGGCUAACACACAGGUUUCUAGCCUACUAUCAUUAUCCCACACUUAGACCAUUACUCGUCCUCGAGCAAUUAAACUACACUUCACAUAGGGACGACCUUUUCAUCAAACACCCUCCCUAACACACCAUUCCAAGAAUAUUAAAAAUAGACUGAGCACUAUAUCAUAACAUCCCAACCUCAAGACUCGACUCAGAAGCACCACGCAUUUUUCAUAACCUGCUCACUUACUCCAACACAGAGGUCAAACACGUUACCUUACCUUCGCAAAUCAUGUGCCCUCACGCAAACAAUAAAGAGUAGUUCCCCACACAAUAUCGUUCAAGAAAAAUUAGGAACUCAAUAAAAAAAGAAUUAACUCACUCUCAUAAUUGAAAUUCAUGUGCAAUGGCCGACGUACCAUAGGUUUGCCCAUAGUGUAAUACUCUACUAAUUGAGAUCAUUCAAUCAAGGAUCAAGUAGGACUUUAAUUGGUUGUAAUAUAGGCUGCAGGAUGGGUAGGAUACAUAUAGAUUUAGUGGCUACACCUUCCUGAGCACUUUAAUACAUAUACAAUUUCACAAUUCAAACCCCACACUUAUGUCAAACCAAAUCCCGACUUUUAUACAUGAUAGCAUCAAGCUCCCAAUAUCUUUAAGCACAAACAAGAUCAGAAAUAGUUCACAAUUUUUUUUUCCUAAGUUCUGAUUUUUCUUCUUCUUUUUCAAUCAAACUCUCUUUUUUAAAUUUUUCUACAAGUGGCUCUCACAAUUUUUCACACACUUCACUUUUCUCCUUUUUCUAAAGCUCCGCUCAAAAACCCAACCAAGCCUUCACUUAGCUUUUACAAGCUUAUAACGAUUUUAAGUGCUCACGAGAGGCUGAGGUUCAACAGAUGACCAAUUCAAACCAAAGGGUAAGGCUUGUAAUGUGGUUGCUAAAGAAACAUAAUUACAGGCUCAAAGGGGUUAACUAAGAUACACUCAAUUAGGUUGGUCACAGACGUAUAACUGGCUCAACAAAGAAAUGCCUAUAUCACUUCCUAGACUGAACAAGACCACUAUUUCGCUUUGCAAACACAUGGGGCAAGUUCUAGGCGUUAACUGCCAUGCAUAGAAUAUCACAAAAACCUCUCUCACACAUUGGCACAUAACUCACUUAGGAUCGGAUCUUUCACGACUCUCUAGUCAAAGCAGUUCAGCAGAGUCACAAUCACACAAUUUAAAACAUUUAUCUAAGAGUCAAGAAUUGAGUGUAGGUGUUACAACUAAGACACUUACCACUCUCAAGGCAUAUGCAGUCAAGGGAAGUUGAUUCAAAUUAGCCCUAUGACUCAAGAUUCUUUAUUCCUAUAAAAAAACCUAAAAACUAUCUACACCCGGUUCGAGUAAAACCCUUGGAAAAGAACCGUGGCACAAAGAAAAAACAAGGGGGAAUUACUACACUACCUAAGGAAAAAACUUAAAGAAAAUAUAAAAUAACAUAAAAAUAAAACAAAAGACAUAUUUUUGGAUUUUCAAUUUUUUUUCCGUUCGACUUCAAAUCCCUCAAGAAGCCAAUCGACAAAAUCCAUCGUCGGGAAGAGUCGAAACUAAACUAUUAAUUACUAACUAUUACAGGCCAAUAGAAUUCAGAGUUAUAAUUUACAGACCAUAUUGUCUACGAAAUCAAGAACAAAUCAAACAAAACCAACUGGCAAAUAGGAAACAAGUAUAAAUAAAAAUACAAUCAAAUAGGAGCACCCCACCACACACUUAAGAAAUUGCAUUGUCCAUAAUGCAAAACAGUAAAACAAGGGUGAAAAAGAUAACUCCCGGAGGCAUGUGGCCUACUCCUCAUCACAGUUGUGACAUCAAAAGGCUUUUGAGGCUGUAAAAUUGGAAUUGUCCGAUCAUAAUGGAACUCCUCCUCCACAUGGUGGGUCCUCAGAAGCCAUGUGAUCAUACUCGGGAAAUACAGGUGGCGGGCCCCAAGUGUCGUACUUGAGACAUGUGCUCAAGCAUAAUCUUACCCAGAUCAAUCUUUUCCAAGUCAUGAAAGCAUAAAUGAGACACACCUUCAAUUGGGAGACAUCAGUGUCGUUCUGGGUAGGCAUGAUCCUCGCAUUAAUCAACCAGAGAAUGACUCUGGUGGGACGUUGGAAAUGACAUUUCUUCAUGUCCCUGUGGAUCUCAUUAGCAUCUCGCAUCCAUGUGGCAAGAGACCCCGCACCACACAUCUGGCGUCUAAUAUCAAGAUAGGGGCGACGCAGCAACCUUAUGAACAACUUAUGCGGAUGAUCCGUGAAUCCCAUGAUUUUAUUUAUGUCCCGGGAAGAAAAUGGAAUCAUCUUGCAUCUUACCUAUGCUUCAUACACAACAUCUAAACUGGCCUUAGGUUGCCAGUUGGCGUAGAAUUCCUUGACCAUAUUUACGUUCAAUAAUUCACUGGGAUGGAACAAGCUCUCAAUGCCCAGGAAUCUGAUGUUGCUGUAAAUCCCCGAGUAUUUCCUAGAUAGAUUACCAUCAUCAAUUCCAACUUCCUGGUCGGGACUCACCGCCAGAACAAAGGUCUGGUACCACAUCCUAGCAUGAGCUAGCACAACACAAAUGUCGUACUUGCAGCCUGGUACUACAUCUGCAUCGAGAUUAAUGCACUCCUCUUCCUCCUCCACUGGGGAGGGAGUAGGUGCCUUCCUACCUCCUCGACGGCUACUAGAGGCAAACUCUGAGGUACCUAUGUUAGAACGUUUGCUAGGACGGCGAGACAAUGUAGCUGCAUAAGACAAACAUCAUUAGCCACAACACUUAAAACAAAAACAAGACCAAAUGGGGUAACCACCCCACAUUUAUGUUAUUGGCAAGUUCACAAGUACAAUGUGUAAUGAGGACUUAGAUUACCCCAUUGGAAACACGCCACAAGCAAUCAAUAGCCCACCCAACCACCAACACAACAUUCCAACAACAUAACCACAGACUACACUAGUGUCAACGACAAAAUUAAGAAGCUAAACUAGUAAUCACAAAAAGAAGAAUAAGAAGUUAGUCUAAUUCAUUACUAAUAAAAUUAGGAUACAAUACAACACUACACAAGCACAAUAGCACGAAUCGGACACCUCAUUUGGCACCUAGCAACACAUGAGCAAGGGGUGGUCAAUCAAUUAGAACUCGGUGAUAAUAAGUUAAAGUUUCACAACAUAAGAACAUGGCAUCCCACCCCACAUCAUCAAGCAUCACAUCCCAUAAAGCAUUUCCCUUCUAAAUUUGCAAUACUACACAAUUUUAUGUCAUUAAGACAUUUCAACAAAUGCAUUGUGGGCAUAUCUUGAACCUUCUUAUUUCAAUUGAAAGUGGGUUGGAAUCACCACACAGCCACAUCAAAUACACCACUCACCACAACCACAACAUCACCACAUCUUCACAAUAGCACCAAGUACACAAAUUUUACACAAAACUUCACUAAUUUUCGGCCACUUGGUACCCCCACCAAGAUUCAACAUAAAUUCAUUCUACACUAUCAAAACACACCAAAAAUAACCCAUAAUCCGAAGAACAAUGAAAACCCCACAAGUUAAGCACCAUUUUCGGCCAUAGUAAGUAAAGAACUAAAAAAAAUAGCACAGCUACACCAUUUUCAGGGUGUUUGUCAGGGUCUCCAAAAAAACUUUAAAUAUUUUUUUUAUGUAAAUUGCAUUGUCGCGUCGCUGGGUUUGGCGCCCCAUGCGCGCAUGGUGAUGGGGUUCUCUAGAGAGCUAUCUCUUAUAGGGUUUUGUCCCUUUGUCCUAGCGCGAUGCCCCAUGCGGUGCGAUAAGCCACCUUUCUCAAAGUCCCGAUUUUUUUAACUUUUUAGCCUACGGGACACACCCCGGCUCAAUUCUGUACUUAUUUUGUGUUCAAUUCAUGCUCAUACCUGUUCAAAUAAUUAUCAAAACUCCUAAACUCUAAAUAAUCCUAAACUACCAUUAUUUAACUAGUCUACAAAAGCAAUAAAAAAAGAUUAGAAAUAGUCCUGAGUUAUAAUCAUCAUCUUACCUCCAUCACUUAGGCUCAUUUGAUCACGAUGCUAGAUGAUUACUUGUCAAAUCCUCCAACAAGGUACGGUUUCAACCUGUGCUCAUUCGCUUUAAGGCUUUCCUUCCCUUCCUCGUCCUAUAUUUCAAUGGCGCCAUACAGUGAGAUAUGUUUUACCACAUACGGACAUGUCUAUCUUGACUUGAAUUUUUCGGGGAAUAACCUAAGUCUACUAUUGUAUAAUAAGACUUUGUCCCCUUUCUGAAACUCCUUUGGCUUAAUAAGACGAUCAUGCCACCUUUUUGUAUUUUCCUUGAAUAUUCUCGCAUUUUCAUACGCAUCCAUUCUAAACUCCUCCAAUUCAUUCAUUUGUGCCAACCUGUGUUCACCUGCAAGACUAAGAUCAAUAUUAAGCAUCUUAAUUGCCCAAUAAGCUUUAUGUUCUAUCUCAACAGGUAGAUGACAUGAUUUUCCAUACACUAACUUGAACAGUGAAGUCCCUAUGGUUGUUUUGAAUACAGUAUAUGCCCAUAUAGCUUCAUCCAACUUUAUAUACCAAUAUUUAUGAGAAGCACUAACCGUCUUUUCAAGAAUUCAUUUAAGUUCACGGUUAUCCACUUCAAAUUGACCACUAGUUUGGCCAUGGUGUGAGAUUCCUGUUUUGUGUGUGACCCCAUACUUAGACAAUAAUGCAGCGAACUGCUUGUUCACAAAGUACAACCCAUUGUCACUGAUAAUCACUCGAGGUGUCUCAAACGGGUAAAGAUGUUCUUCCGUAAGAACUCACAUACCACCCGAGCAUCAUUGGUCCUAGUAAGGAUUGCUUUGACCCCUUUAGCGAUGUAGUCAACGGCUACUAGGCAAUACUCAUAAAAAUGCGACAUUGGGAAUGGAACCAUGAAGUCAAUGCCCCAAAUGUCAAAAAUUUCAUAUACCAGAAUGGAGUUGAGAGGCAUUUCGUCCCUCUUGAUAAUAUUACCUGCCCCUUAACACUUGUCACAUGCUGCUACAUACACUCGUGCGCCUUUGUACAAAGUAGGCCAAUAGAAAUUGGCUUUCAUGACCUUUGCUGUCAUGCAAUUUCCACCAUAGUGUCCUCCAGCUGAUCUAUCAUGGAAUUGAGACAUAAUGCUUGUCAUCUCUACUUUAGACACACAUCUUUGAAUCACACCAUCUGCAUACAGUUUAAAUAAGACGGGGUCAUUCCAAAAAUAACUUUUUACCUCACUUUGAAGCUUCCGUCUUCGAUCACGAGUGAGGUCACCAGGCAACCAUCCACUAGCCAAAAAGUUGGCUACAUCAGUAUACCAAGGCGGCCUUUCGGAGACCGCAACAAUAGAGAAAAUCUGCUCAUCAAGGAAUUCUUUCCAUAUUUCAAUUAUUUCAACUGGAGAUUUCUCAAGUCGAGAUAGAUGAUUUGCGACUUGAUUUUCUGUGCCCUUCCUAUCUUUGAUCUCCAAGUCAAACUCUUGGAGAAACAACACUCACCGUAUCAAACGCGCCUUGGACUCAUUCUUACUCAACAAAUAUUUCAAAGUGGAGUGAUCAAUGUGCACAAUCAUUUUAAUCCCCACCAGGUAUGAUCUAAACUUGUCAAAAGCAAAGACCACAACAAAGAUCUCUUUUUCAAUAGUGGCAUAGUUGACUUGAGCAUCAUUCAAUGUCCUAUUUGCAUAGUAGAUCGGCCUAAACAUUUUAUCUUUUCUUUGCCCAGAGCUGUUCCUACAGCUAUAUCACUAGCAUUACAUAUUAUCUCAAAUGGCGGGCUCCAAUCAGGUGUCACCAUAAUAGGAGCACUCACAAGCUUUUCCUUUAUCAAUUCGAAUGCUCUUAAGCACUCCACAUUGAAAACAAACUUGACAUCUUUUGCUAGCAAUGCAGUCAACGGCUUGGUAAUGCUGGAAAGGUUUUUAAUGAACCUCCUAUAGAACCCAACAUGUCCCAAGAAACUCCUUACACUCUUCACAGAAGUUGGUGGAGGGAGCCUAGAAAUUACAUCAACCUUAGCUCUAUUAACUUCAAUUCCAUGUGCAGUUACUUUGUGGCCCAAGACAAUUCCCUCUUUAACCAUGAAGUGACACUUCUCCCAGUUAAGAACCAAGUGAGUGGCUUCAUAACGUUCAAGCAUAAGCUCCAAAUUUUUCAAGCAAUCAUCUAAGUCACCACCAAAGAGGGUAAAAUCGUCCAUGAAUACUUCUAGACACUUCCCGUUUAAAUCGGAAAAUAUAGACAUCAUGUACCUCUGAAAAAUGGCAGGUGCAUUACACAACCCAAACGACAUCCUCCUGUAAGCAAAUAUGCCUGAUGGGCAAGUGAAUAUGGUCUUCUCUAUAUCUUCUGGGGAAAUGGGUAUCUGAUUAUAGCCUGAGUACCCAUCCAAAAAUAGUAGCAUCCAUGUCCCGCCACUUUCUUGAGCAUUUAAUCAAUAAAGGGGAGUGGGAAGUGGUCCUUCCUUGUUGCAUCAUUCAGCCUUCUAUAAUCAAUGCAUAUUCUCCAUCCAGUGACAGUUCUUGUGGGAAUCAAUUCAUUAUCUUCAUUUUUUACCACUGUCAUUCUAAUAUUCUUAGGUACAACUUGCACCAGACUAAUCUGUUGACUAUGAGAGAUGGGAAAAAUCACUCUCGCAUCUAGCAAUUUGAUAAUCUCCUUAUGCACUACCUCCUUCAAAUUUUUGUUCAACUUGCAUUGGGCUUGCACCACUAGCUUGCUAGUUUCUUCCAACAGAGUUUUGUACCUACAAAUGGCUGGAAUGAUUCCUUGAAUAACAGCUAUGCUCCACCCAAUGGCCUUCUUGUGCUUUGUCUGUAGCUCCACCAGUUUUUGCUCCUGUGUACCUGGAAAGUCAGCAGAAAUAAUCACAAGAAAAUUGUUAGUUUUGAGAAAAACAUAUUUCAAGUGAGUGGGGAGGACUUUCGAUUUCACAUUAGGCUUAGAAGCCUCCUGUUUUAGUUCCUCCUCAUCAACCACUUGAUCUUUAGUUUCAAGAGCUUCCACAUCUUUCUUUAUUUCAAAAUCUUCAUCCUCCACUAUGCCUGACUGAGUAAUACACCUCUCUAGAGUAUCCCCUACAAGCUUGUCAAACUUGUAUUUUUCAGCCAACUCUCCAAUAACAUCUAGCUUAAAACAGGAGUAAGCGGAUGCCUCAUUACUGGGGUAUUUCAUCAUUCUCUUCAUCUAGAACACCACUUUCUCAUUUCCCACUCUGAGCAUAAGCUACCCCUCAUAAAUAUCAAGGAUGACUCUACUUGUACAUAAAAAUGGCCUCCCCAGAAUUAGAGGCACCUCCUUAUUCACCUCCAUAUCCACCACAAUAAAGUCUACGGGGAACAUAAACUUGUCCACCCACAGUAGAAUAUCUUCAAUGAUUCCCUCCGGUAGGAUGGUGGUCUGGUCAGCUACUUGUGGGGACAUUGGUAUUGAUUUGAUCAUACUAAGUUCAUAUUUCAGUUUCCCGAAUACAGACAGAGGCAUUAGAUUUAUAAAUGCACCGGAAUCACAAAGGACCUUGUCGAAUUUUUCACUCCCCAACGAGCAUGGUAUGGUGAAGUUUCCUGGGUCCCCACACUUUUGGUGAAGUUUAUUUUGUAAUAUGGCACUGCAGUGGGCAUUCAGCUUGACUACCAUUGUCUCCUCCAAUCUUCUCGUGCUAGAUAGAAUUUCCUUCAAGAACUUUGCAUAAGCACGCAUCUGAGUGAGUACCUCUGUGAAGGGAAUGUUCACAUAAAGUUGUUCGGUCAUCUCCAUGAAUCACCCAAAACAUUUGUCAACUUUCUCCCGCUUCAUCUUUUGAGGGAAUGGUAGAGCUGACAUAUGUCUACUUUCUUCAGUUUCCUUUUGUACCCGUUAUUCUAGCUCUUUUGCU